rnacentral:SRP_RNA from 1 species
GCUGGGUGUGGUGGUGCACACCUGUAAUCCCAGCUACUCAGGAGACUGAGGCAGGAGAAUCGCUUGAAUCCAGGAGCUGGAGGUUGCAGUGAGCAGAGAUCGCGCCACUGCACUCCAGCCUGGGUGACAGAGCGAGACUCCAUCUCAA